AUUGAACGCUGGCGGCAUGCCUUACACAUGCAAGUCGAACGGCAACGGGCCUUCGGUUGCCGUCGGGUUGCGGAGGGGCGGGUAAUACAUCGAUACAUGCGCGUCUGCCGGGGCGUACGGGGCAACAGAGUUGAUCAUACCCCAAUAGCGCAUAGGAUCUACGCGGGAGAGCGGAAGACCUCAAGACCUCGCACCGUUGGAUGAGACGAUGUCGGAUUAGCUAGUUGGCGGGGUAAUAGCCCACCAAGCCGACGAUCGGUAGCUGGUCUGAGAGGAUGAUCAGCCACACUGGGACUGAGACACGGCCCAGACUCCUACGGGAGGCAGCAGUGGGGAAUAUUGGACAAUGGGCGCAAGCCUGAUCCAGCCAUACCGCGUGGGUGAUGAAGGCCUUCGGGUUGUAAAGCGCUUUUGUUGGGAACGAAAACUUUCCUGUUAAUACACUGGGAGCAUGACGGUACCCAAAGAAUAAGCACCGGCUAACUUCGUG
rnacentral:rRNA from 1 species